rnacentral:rRNA from 1 species
UACGUAGGGUGCAAGCGUUAAUCGGAAUUACUGGGCGUAAAGCGUGCGCAGGCGGUUAUGUAAGACAGGGGUGAAAUCCCCGGGCUUAACCUGGGAACUGCAUUUGUGACUGCAUAGCUAGAGUACGGUAGAGGGGGAUGGAAUUCCGCGUGUAGCAGUGAAAUGCGUAGAGAUGUGGAGGAAUACCGAUGGCGAAGGCAGCCCCCUGGGAUAACACUGACGCUCAUGCACGAAAGCGUGGGGGGCAAACAGG